GGAAAUGAGUUUGAGAUGAUUCAGUGUCCC
rnacentral:piRNA from 1 species